UAAGCGGAGGAAAAGAAACUAACAAGGAUUCCCCUAGUAACUGCGAGUGAAGCGGGAAAAGCUCAAAUUUAAAAUCUGACAGUUGUUAUGGCUGUCCGAGUUGUAAUCUAGAGAAGUGUUACCCGCGCUGGACCGUGUACAAGUCUCCUGGAAUGGAGCAUCAUAGAGGGUGAGAAUCCCGUCUUUGACAUGGACUACCAGGGCUUUGUGGUGCGCUCUCAAAGAGUCGAGUUGUUUGGGAAUGCAGCUCAAAAUGGGUGGUAAAUGCCAUCUAAAGCUAAAUAUUGGCGAGAGACCGAUAGCGAACAAGUACCGUGAGGGAAAGAUGAAAAGAACUUUGGAAAGAGAGUUAAACAGUACGUGAAAUUGCUGAAAGGGAAACGCUUGAAGUCAGUCGCAUCGACUGGAAAUCAACCUUGCUUUUGCUUGGUGUAUUUUCUGGCUUGAUGGGUCAGCAUCAAUUUUGAUCGCUGGAUAAAGGCUUGGGGAAUGUGGCAUCUUAGGAUGUGUUAUAGCCCUUGGUUGCAUACAGCGGUUGGGAUUGAGGAACUCAGCACGCCGCAAGGCCGGGUUUUUAGACCACGUUUACGUGCUUAGGAUGCUGGCAUAAUGGCUUUAAUCGACCCGUCUUGAAACACGGACCAAGGAGUCUAACAUGCCUGCGAGUGUUUGGGUGGAAAACCCAUGCGCGCAAUGAAAGUGAAAAGUUGAGAUCCCUGUCGUGGGGAGCAUCGACGCCCAGACCAGACCUUUUGUGACGGCUCUGCGGUAGAGCAUGUAUGUUGGGACCCGAAAGAUGGUGAACUAUGCCUGAAUAGGGUGAAGCCAGAGGAAACUCUGGUGGAGGCUCGUAGCGAUUCUGACGUGCAAAUCGAUCGUCAAAUUUGGGUAUAGGGGCGAAAGACUAAUCGAA
rnacentral:rRNA from 1 species